rnacentral:rRNA from 1 species
CCUACGGGAGGCAGCAGUGGGGAAUAUUGCACAAUGGGGGAAACCCUGAUGCAGCGACGCCGCGUGAAGGAAGAAGUAUUUCGGUAUGUAAACUUCUAUCAGCAGGGAAGAAAAUGACGGUACCUGCCUAAGAAGCCCCGGCUAACUACGUGCCAGCAGCCGCGGUAAUACGUAGGGGGCAAGCGUUAUCCGGAUUUACUGGGUGUAAAGGGAGCGUAGGCGGUUGAGCAAGUCAGAAGUGAAAACCCGGGGCUCAACACCGGGACUGCUUUUGAAACUGUUGAACUAGAGUGCAGGAGAGGUAAGUGGAAUUCCGAGUGUAGCGGUGAAAUGCGUAGAUAUUAGGAGGAACACCAGUGGCGAAGGCGGCUUACUGGACUGUAAAUGACGCUGAGGCGCGAAAGCGUGGGGAGCAAACAGGAUUAGAUACCCCAGUAGUC